CGAAGAAAGAGCCCUUUGUGCCCUGGGGAUCGGCCACGCCGGGAAGGCCUUAUCCUUAUCCUCAUCCUGCCCCACCAUCCCGGCCCGGCCCUGCCCUCCUCCGGCAGCCCCGGCCGGGCCUGACCCCGCCGGGUGCGGGGGGACCCCCGCGCCGGGCACCCCCGGGGCGCAGGGCCCGGGGGGCCCGGGCAGGGACGCGGCCCCCGCCCCGCGGACACCGGCUUUGUUUUUACAGGUGUCGGGAGGGCAAUUUACUAACAAGUAAUUAAAGGUCGCACCGGUUUGCAGGCGCGCCGGGCCAGAGGCUCCUGCGAGAGAAGAGCGGUGCAUAUGGAGAGGGAACAGCAAGUGGAUGGGAAAGGAGCCUCUACAACACAAACCUCAUUGACUUAAUGGGUCGGUUUUGGAUUUCGCCUUCGAAAGGUUCGGCAAGCGGCAGCGUUGUGUUUCUGCCCCGCCGGCUCCCAGCCUUCAGCCCCGGUUCCUCAUCCCGACGAGACGCGGCUCCAAAAAAAAAAAAAAAAAUUGCUGCUUUUAUUUUGCUGCUCUAUUUGUUUCCUUCAGACCCUCACACUUAAAGAAAAAAAAUAAAAUUUAUUUUUGCUUGGGGAA